rnacentral:sRNA from 1 species
CACCUGAGAUCCAGGCUCUGCUAGACUUGUCCCCAACGUCCUACUCCCCCAGUCUCCCACAGUCAGGGUGCCCCAUAUCAGCUGAGACCUAGGGUUCUGUCUGAAUUUGUUUGUUGUUUCCUAAGGUUCUAACCUGGCAUCUUGCUCAAACUCCUUGGAGGACUCAGACAACCACAGGGAGCCUGAGAAGGAGCUGUUGUCUGGUGGACUUAAUCAUCGCCCAGACAAGACACACUCCUAUUUAAACACAGAAAUACACUUUACCAUGGGACAGAAGAUAAGAACGACGAGCAGAGCAGGGGAGGCCCUGUGUGUGCUGACAUGGAGUGAUAAGGUGAGCAGUUCAGCUGUGUGACACACUCCUGUGAUAUGUUGCAUUACCCUGGGUCCAAAGCAAAGGGACCAACCAAUCCAGGUGGAGACUUCCAAACUGAUUUCUCACUGUGACCCUGGGUGCCCUGGAAGUCUCUUCAGAGGCCAGGCUGGCCUUGAACUCAAAAGAUGUGCUUGCCUCUGCCUCCCGAGUGCUGGCAUUAAAGGUGUGCACCAGCAUCAGCAAUCACCACCACUCAGCUUGAGCAUCAUCUUAUUUAAGUCAUUGCAACAGAGGGAUCUGCCCAGCAAAUGACAAAGGUCCUACAGCUGGGAGAGAAGCACAGUUGGAUUUUGCCUCUGGACUUACAGGUAUGGUUGUAUAAGGACGUCAGCUUGCUCCAAAGCAUCUAUAAGGAGAAGAGCAUCGACAAAGCAUCUAUUUCAGUGUGCCAGGAAUUCAUGCUUUUAUGCUUGAAGAACUACUGAAUCCGGCUGAGAACAGCAGAAGCCCAUGGUGUCCUGGACGGAAGUUGCUCUCCCCAGUUCAGCUGAGAAUUUGGAAAUACCAACAGAUGUUUCCAUGGGAACGAGCCUCAGAGAUCAUGAUAAAUAAGAGCAUCCUCCAGAGUAAGAACUUGGGCUGAGUGAUUCCAGCAGCGGAGAAGCUGGAAGAGUGACGACACAAUCCAGCAGAAAUAGCCAGGCCUCUGACAAGUCGGUGGGAGCGAUUAGGACCAGCCAGGACCCUAGGAGAAGUUCUCUGCCGAGUGUGCCUCUCACGACAAAGAAGACCAGCAAAGACGUGAACCCAAUGAAGUGUUGCAAAGCUGUCUCUGCAAGCACCCAGUCACGGUCCAUUGAGUCUUAUGUAUACUCUCUCCAAACAUGUGUCCUCCCACGGGCCUUGCCUCAGCAAAACGCCAUGUAAAUCUGCAUCACAUGAUAUAUCCGGAAACUUUCGCUUCCCAGUCUGAAAUAACUAUUUUCACUCUCUAGCCAUAGCCCUCUGAAUGUACCCCAUCUUGUCUGAAAUGAAUACUUUAAUGUAUUAUUUACUUUACUUGGUAAUUAUGGUUUUGCAUGCUGUAUUACCUACUCUGGUGACACUGAACAAAGGCCUGAGAGGAGCAACUUGGAGGAAGAAAGGUACAUUUUGGCUUAUGGUUUCAGUCAGUCACGGUGAGGAAGGCAGGGCAGAGUGGCUCUAUUCAUGGUGGCAGGAGUGUGAGGUGAUGGCUUGUUUACGUGGUGGCAGACAGGAAACAAAGAGAGUAGGCAGCACUGAGACAAGCAGACAGAGGGGAUAGUUUAGUAACCAGGACUCUACUUAUUUUGGGUUCUGCACAUACCUUUCUUUUAAUAAUGCACGUGGCAGCCCAAAAGCCUUACCUACGGGUACCAGGCACGCACACAUGCAGUACUACGUACUGAGCAAUGCACCUAGCAUCUGUUAGUGACCUAGGACCCUCAUCUGCACCAAGCUACAUACACGCCCCAGUUUGAACAGUCAGUCUCUCUCUCCUUAUUAGCCAUCAAACUUAGACAGAUUAUAUUCCAUUGUGCUCUGCUUAUCAGGAAUGAAGUCAGCUUGAACUGGCUUUGGUUGCAUGUACAAUGUAAAACUGCUCUCAAGUAAACUUUAAGGGAUCGUCCUCUAUUUAUUAUCUUAUGCCUGUGCAUAAUUAGGUAUGCCUAUGAUUAAAAUCAGGUGUAUUAUGGGAAGAGACACACAUAGUAGAAAAAUGAUUGUAUGAUCCAAUCUAUUAAUAUACAUACUACACUCUUAGGAACCAAACUCUUCCUUUUCUGAGCCCCCUGUGUUGAUGACUGUGGCCUGUGUUUCCACCAGAGACCAUGUGGAUGUCCACGGUCUAUGCUGUGGCCUGAAGCCAUGUUAGUGUCCCUGGGCAGUGCAGCCACCAAGGGCCAUGUUGAUGUGAAUAGCCAUGCUGAGGCCUGAGGUCUGUGGUCUGUGCUGCCCCCGAAGCCAGGGCUGUGUUUGUGGUCUGUGCUGUGGCCCGGAACCACAGGGAAGCCCAUAAUCUGAGCUCUCGCUGACCACAAAGAGCAAGGAAGUUGGUUUUGCAGUGCUAUCGAUGACUGCCGAUGCAUAGUUGAAAAGGGACAUGGAAGGCUUCUGUGACACCUCCCCAGCCCCCAAGAAAAGUAGCAGCUUAAACGGGAAGAUAUUGAAGAGAACUCUUACAACGUGCAAUAAGAAUGCUGAAGUUAGCCCUCCACAGUAGACGGCGCCAGGCAGGGCUGCAGGAUGACAACGACUGCGUUCUAUUUGGGGGCAGGCCCCUGAGAGUUUGACC